CCCUUAGAUGUUCUGGGCCGCACGCGCGCUACACUGAUGCAUUCAACGAGUUUCUUCCUGGUCCGAGAGGAAUGGGUAACCUUUUGAAAGUGCAUCGUGAUAGGGAUAGACUAUUGCAAUUAUUGGUCUUCAACGAGGAAUUCCUAGUAGACGUAGUUCAUCAGACUGCAUCGAUUACGCCCCUGCCCUUUGUACACACCGCCCGUCGCUCCUACCGAUUGAAUGCUCAGGUGAGCCAUUCGGACUUUCAUCAUGCUGGUUUCCAGUUUUGAUGAAGGAAAGUCUUGCGAACCUUACCAUUUAGAGGAAGGAGAAGUCGUAACA
rnacentral:rRNA from 1 species